rnacentral:rRNA from 1 species
AGGGUUUGAUUAUGGCUCAGAACGAACGCUGGCGGCAGGCUUAAUACAUGCAAGUCGAGCGGUCUCCUUCGGGAGACAGCGGCGGACGGGUUAGUAACGCGUGGGAACGUGCCCUUUAGUACGGAAUAGCCAUUGGAAACGAUGAUUAAUACCGUAUACUCCCUUCGGGGGAAAGAUUUAUCGCUAAAGGAUCGGCCCGCGUUAGAUUAGGUUGUUGGUGGGGUAAUGGCCUACCAAGCCUACGAUCUAUAGCUGGUUUGAGAGGAUGAUCAGCAACACUGGGACUGAGACACGGCCCAGACUUCUACGGAAGGCAGCAGUAGGGAAUCUUGGACAAUGGGCGAAAGCCUGAUCCAGCCAUGCCGCGUGAGUGAUGAAGGCCCUAGGGUUGUAAAACUCUUUCGCCAGGGAAGAUAAUGACGGUACCUGGUAAAGAAACCCCGGCUAACUCCGUGCCAGCCGCCGCGGUAAUAC